rnacentral:rRNA from 1 species
UACAGAGGGGGCAAGCGUUGUUCGGAAUUACUGGGCGUAAAGGGCGCGUAGGCGGCCUGUUAAGUCGAACGUGAAAUCCCCGGGCUCAACCCGGGAACUGCGUCCGAUACUGGCAGGCUUGAAUCCGGGAGAGGGAUGUGGAAUUCCAGGUGUAGCGGUGAAAUGCGUAGAUAUCUGGAGGAACACCGGUGGCGGAAGGCGGCAUCCUGGACCGGCAUUGACGCUGAGGCGCGAAAGCCAGGGGAGCAAACGGGG